rnacentral:rRNA from 1 species
GACGAACGCUGGCGGCGUGCUUAACACAUGCAAGUCGAGCGGUAAGGCCCUUUCGGGGGUACACGAGCGGCGAACGGGUGAGUAACACGUGGGUGACCUGCCCUUAGCUCUGGGAUAAGCCUGGGAAACUGGGUCUAAUACCGGAUAUGACUCCAUGACGCAUGUUGUGGGGUGGAAAGCCUUGUGCGGCUGAGGAUGGGCCCGCGGCCUAUCAGCUUGUUGGUGGGGUGAUGGCCUACCAAGGCGACGACGGGUAGCCGGCCUGAGAGGGCGACCGGCCACACUGGGACUGAGAUACGGCCCAGACUCCUACGGGAGGCAGCAGUGGGGAAUCUUGCGCAAUGGGCGAAAGCCUGACGCAGCGACGCCGCGUGAGGGAUGACGGCCUGUGU